GACGAACGCUGGCGGCGUGCCUAAUACAUGCAAGUCGAGCGAAGUUUUUCUGGUGCUUGCACUAGAAACACUUAGCGGCGACCGGGUGAGUAACACGUAAAGAACCUGCCUCAUAGACUGGGACAACUAUUGGAAACGAUAGCUAAUACCGGAUAACAGUAUUUCUCGCAUGAGAGAUAUUUAAAAGUUGGUUAUGCUAACACUAUGAGAUGGCUUUGCGGUGCAUUAGCUAGUUGGUGGGGUAAAGGCCCACCAAGGCGACGAUGCAUAGCCGACCUGAGAGGGUGAUCGGCCACACUGGGACUGAGACACGGCCCAGACUCCUACGGGAGGCAGCAGUAGGGAAUCUUCCGCAAUGGGCGAAAGCCUGACGGAGCAACGCCGCGUGAGUGAAGAAGGAUUUCGGUUCGUAAAGCUCUGUUGUUAGGGAAGAAUGGAUAUGUAGUAACUAUACAUGUAAGAGACGGUACCUAACCAGAAAGCCACGGCUAACUACGUG
rnacentral:rRNA from 1 species